CAUUCUACUUCUAUACGUAGCCCAACAAUGAUAAAUUAAAAUCUGGUUCUAGAAAACGCCAAUUUUCAUGCAAUAAAAAUAGAAAUUUUUUUUAAACUUAGCUGAAAUAUGUACGUUUCAAGAUAAAAUUGCUAAAUAAAUAAUCAUAGUUGUUUUAUUUUCAAGUCAAUGGGAAAAUGAGAUAUUAAUUCUAACCUCCUCCACCCCUGCACACACCAAUGGAUCCAGUAGAAUUUA